AGCGAACGCUGGCGGCAGGCCUAACACAUGCAAGUCGAAUGAACUCUUCGGAGUUAGUGGCGGACGGGUGAGUAACACGUGGGAACGUGCCUUUAGGUUCGGAAUAACUCAGGGAAACUUGUGCUAAUACCGAAUGUGCCCUUCGGGGGAAAGAUUUAUCGCCUUUAGAGCGGCCCGCGUCUGAUUAGCUAGUUGGUGAGGUAAAGGCUCACCAAGGCGACGAUCAGUAGCUGGUCUGAGAGGAUGAUCAGCCACAUUGGGACUGAGACACGGCCCAAACUCCUACGGGAGGCAGCAGUGGGGAAUCUUGCGCAAUGGGCGAAAGCCUGACGCAGCCAUGCCGCGUGAAUGAUGAAGGUCUUAGGAUUGUAAAAUUCUUUCACCGGGGACGAUAAUGACGGUACCCGGAGAAGAAGCCCCGGCUAACUUCGUG
rnacentral:rRNA from 1 species